rnacentral:lncRNA from 1 species
UUCUUUGUUUUCUUUUAAGAGAUCUAAUUGUAAAGGAGAUCAACUUCUGUGGAUUCGCACUAUUUAUCAAUAUCAAUCAGGCUUUUCUUAAAUUCUCUAUUUCAAUUCAUUUCUUAUGAUUAAUUACUGCAUUCAUUCCAUGAUAUUUAUGAAAGCCAUGAAGACCUAAUCCUUCUAUGGGGGAUUAGUGAGUUGAGGCAUGAUCUUUUAACUAUUUUGUA